rnacentral:rRNA from 1 species
AUUGAACGCUGGCGGCAGGCCUAACACAUGCAAGUCGAACGAGUGGCGGACGGGUGAGUAAUGUCUGGGAAACUGCCUGAUGGAGGGGGAUAACUACUGGAAACGGUAGCUAAUACCGCAUACCAUCAGAUGUGCCCAGAUGGGAUUAGCUUGUUGGUGGGGUAACGGCUCACCAAGGCGACGAUCCCUAGCUGGUCUGCGAGGAUGACCGGCAAAACAGGAACUGAGACACGGUCCAGACGCCUAGGGAGGGGAGCGGUGGGGAAUAUUGCACAAUGGGCGCAAGCCUUAUGAAGCCAGGCCGCGUGUAGGAAGAAGGCCUUCGGUUUGUAAAGUACUUUCAGCGGGGAGGCGUUACCCGAAGAAGAAGCACCGGCUAACUCCGUGCCAGCAGCCGCGGUAAUAC